GCCAGCAUGGCAUAGUGGUUUGAAUGUUGGACUACAACUCUGGAGACUAAGGUUUGAUUCCUUGCUCAGCCA